UCUUCCUGAACUGGUUUACUUCAGAUUUUUUUUUUUAAACUUUAUUUUCUGAUCUUCAAAUCAGUACAAAGACGCCUCUGUUCUCCAACAAGGACUUUAACAAGCUUCUCCAGACAUGAAGCUCGACGUCAGGCAGACUAUCACUGAAGUCCACACUCCAGUCCAGUAGGUGGCGGUAAAUCAACCUCGAGUUAGUUUUCCGUUCGCCAAUAAAACACAAAAGAAGAAGAUCGGCAAGAACAUUCUCCAGAGUCCUACAUCAGGUUUGUAAGGUUAUUUGCGGGAAACAACGGAGAAAUCAGCAUCUUUCGCAACCAGAGGAAGAAUGAGAGGCGCAAAGUCUCAUUGGAUGUGAGAGUGGUCGCUGUGUCGGACGCAUUUUGCACGUACAAAACUGAAGUUUUUGGCAGAGUUCACUGAGUGUUUGGCGGGAGUUAGAUACCGUGACCCGGAGUCACGUUUUAACUUUUCAUCAGUGAGAAAGGAGCAAGGCAAGCUUAAGCGGCUAAACAGAGUGUUCAGGAGAGGAAGGAGGAAAGGAAAGGAACGGAGACAGAUAGAGGAAGAAAAGCUCUCACGCGGCAUUACCGCCUGGCUCUGCGCCGUACUCCCUUUAAUGAAGGAGGAAAUGAAGAUGGAGGACGAGGGAUGAAGAAAAAGGAGGAGGAAAAUUCUUUUUUAUCUCUUCUUGCUUCCGUCUCACACUCUGAGCAUAUGUAUGCCCACAAAGCAUGGCGCAAUCUCCAUUAGAGAAAGAGCUGUAAUUUCAGAACUCUUUUUGUCGCCGCCGCUUUAAAAAAGUCGGGCAGAUUGGUAAUAGUUGCUGUUAAAUUAUUCAAGUGUUUGAGCCUUAGAAGUUUGGGGAAAACUGCAGCUUUUUUUCUUCUCCGUUUUUUAAGAUUAGGAUUAAUGAUGAGCACCUCCAAGCAUAGAACUUCCUCACUCGAGGCCGGAGCUUCAAGUUUUUACUUUUACUCAUGAGCAUUGCCUUUUCUAUUCACGUUUUGCACGUUUUUGUUUUUCCAUUUGUGUCUGAACUGCUUCUAAAAACAACCCAAGUGUUAAAGAAAUCACCCAGAUUGUUUUUUGGUGUCUGGAAAAUUAGCAGUUUCAAAAACCUGCACAUUCAAAAGGCAAUGCGGCAUUGCCUAGCAACCCCAGACAAGUCCAGCCUGUCACCCAGCAACCCAAGUGGAAGUACAGCACAUUUGGUCAGCUGAUUCACUUCAGGUUGCUGAAAAAGACAAGUGUUUUGUUGUUGACUUACCAUCC